GCCAGUUUGGUGUAGUGGUUUGAACAUUGGACUAUGAAUCUGGAGGUCAAGGUUCAAAUCUCUGCUUGGCC
rnacentral:tRNA from 1 species